rnacentral:snoRNA from 1 species
CCUGAUGCAGAUGAUGACAGAUGUGUUUUGCUGAGUGAAACCUGUGAUUCUCACUUCAAAGUAAACGCACUGAUGCAUCUGGA